UACGUAGGGUGCAAGCGUUGUCCGGAAUUAUUGGGCGUAAAGAGCUCGUAGGCGGUCUGUCGCGUCUGCUGUGAAAACUCAGGGCUUAACCCUGAGCUUGCAGUGGGUACGGGCAGACUAGAGUGCGGUAGGGGAGACUGGAAUUCCAGGUGUAGUGGUGGAAUGCGUAGAGAUCCGGAGGAACACCAGCGGCGAAGGCGGCAUCCUGGACCGACACUGACACUGAGGAG
rnacentral:rRNA from 1 species